GGCCUUUUAUAGGUAGACUGGUGCGGGUAAAAUUGUGCCUCAUAUAUAUUUGACAGUCACAGUCUCUGUCUCAUUCCUCACUUUGAACUUGUGGCUGACGGAGCUGUUUUAUCUGGAGAAAACCUGGUGCAAUUUAUUCGACAAAAAGGUGAUUUUUGAUUAUAACCACAAGAUGAAGGUUUGCCGUCAAUCUAAGCUGCACACAACAGCCGAAAUGCCAGCGGAAACCGAUCCCGGAUAGGGAUCCGGUUCCGCUGGCUUUCGGAAAUAUGAUGACUACUUCUUAGAGAAAUCUUUGAAAUUUAAUUUAAGUGAGGAAAUAAAUGUGUCAAAAUGAGCGUCCAAUAAAAAAAAUGUGUGUAUGUAAAAAA